UACGUAGGGGGCUAGCGUUGUCCGGAAUCAUUGGGCGUAAAGCGCGUGUAGGCGGCCCGAUAAGUCCGCUGUGAAAGUCCAGGGCUCAACCCUGGGAUGCCGGUGGAUACUGUCGGGCUCGAGUCCGGAAGAGGCGAGCGGAAUUCCUGGUGUAGCGGUGAAAUGCGCAGAUAUCAGGAGGAACACCAAUGGCGAAGGCAGCUCGCUGGGACGUGACUGACGCUGAGACGCGAAAGCGUGGGGAGCAAACAGG
rnacentral:rRNA from 1 species